UGAGCUCGAGACACAAAGGCCCUGCACGCUCCUUCCUGUGUCCUAACAGUGUUUAUUGCCUACACACGCAACAGUUCCAGCUGACAAGCUGAAGAAUCUCUUUGAUCUUUAAAGCAAAUCAAGUUAGAGCUUCAAAAGGUAGCAUUAUUUCCAAACAAGAUCAGUGAUCAAACAUAAACAACUAAGGCUGGGGCCAGAUAGUGAAAUAUACUCAAAGAACAAUACCACUUCAUUAUCAGAGCCUUCAGAGUCUCCUAUUCGUUGAUUCAGAUGAAUCUAUGGGCCAAAUCUGGCAAGUUAACCCCCAAAGUAACUUGUGGUAGGUGAAUCCCCACAGCAUGUUCAUGGAGAGGGCCUGCACGCAAUGGCGGAAGCAUGACACAGUGCAGAGCAGGUAACAAGGGCAUGGACAGAUCUCCUCAAGGAUUUGAACUGAGCCACAGCAUUCCUGCUGAUUCCAAGUUUGCAAGACUAGAGCAUUUGCAACAUCUGUGGGUCAUAGCCACACAUCGGUCUAAAGCGUUCUCCAACCUCAAGCCUAAAAAACUCAUCUCUUCUUGGCACAGGAGAGGGAGACAUCAUCACUCUCAUGUCAACUGAAGAUACUGACGUUGAAGGAGACCUUUCCAUAACGUGCACCAACUGGUGUUCUUCUUCUUGUUCUACGUUCUCACUUGGCUGUGAGUCUAUAAUCAAAGAAGGAGGAGGUUUGACAUCCUCUUCCAAUUGCAACUUCAUCAUGACUGUAGCAGGAUGGUGAUCCAACACUGCCUGUGGUGAACUGGUACCAGCAAUUGUUUCUUUAUCGAUACUAGCGCUAGAACACACAAAGUCAUAUUUAAAUAAUCCAUUAAAAACUAUAAAACAAACAAACAAACAUAGCUGUUAGUAACCAAAGCUUCAUUUGAAAUAUUACUCUGUGCCUCCCAUGCCUAGACCCCUGUUUUGUUACGUGACCAUCAUCUGCAUUCCUCCUUCCUUCCACCACACACACGCAGCCCCG
rnacentral:lncRNA from 1 species